UAUUUCAGUCAAAAAUGAUAUUUUUAGAUUAUCUCGACUUGGUAAUCCAAAAUGGAAAAAUAAAUACCAUUUUUCGACGGUAUUUAUUUUACCUUCUUUUUUAGAAAAAGAGAUAUGCGAUCCACCAUUUAUUUUACCUUUUUUUAGAAAAAUAGAUAUGCAAGCCAUUUUGGGUGAGGUCCUGCGUUGUUAUAAAUGAUAUCAGAGCGAACUCGGUCCAUAGCCUAUGUGGACUACGGAACACUGCAGCCGGGUUCAUGGAGGCUGACCACAAACUUAUCGUGGUGCUUGUGAUUGGAUUUGAAUUGAUUUGAACCCUUAGUCUGAUGAGGACGUCAGGGCUUGAACGGGGGGAGUAUGUAAGGACCCAUGUAGGCGUGUGUUUAGUCCCACAUUGGUUAUUCGCCGAGAAGAUCUUGGGUACUUAUACAUAAUCAAGAAACCCAAAUAAUACAUUCUGGUUAGCCAUUUUGGAUGAGGUCCUGGGUUAUUAUAACUAUAGUUUGAAAGAUUAUUCUGUAAGGAUAUUAUAUGGUUGGAGAAAAUGUUAGAACUGAUAUGGCAUAAAAUCAAUCCACCUAUCGUGGAUCGACAUGUGGCAAGCAGUUUCAAGCAGAUUUGAAUUUUGGGCGGUUACAUUUUUGCAAUUAAGAAGGUCUAGAAACAAAAGGAUGGUUAUGACUCAUAAGAAAUUAUGGCUCAUCCCUUGACUUCCGCCUAAACGGAUCCUUGCUCCAACACCUAUAUAAAUAUGGCUAAUAGAAAAAAUAUUAGAUACCUCAACCUCGGACUGACUGACCUCGACAACCUCUGCCCUGAUCGAGGAGAGCAACUUCGGUUCUGAUCGAGGAGCCAACUGACCGAAGUGAGGAAGUAAGCAAUUUUACCUCCAACCAAGGAGCCUAUUCGACACAUGCCGACAGGGACUGACAAUCCUAACAACCGACGGCCCCGACAGCCUACAGUCAUGGCGACACCCUAGUUUGCGCCCGAUUGGCACUGUAUGCCACCCAUGCGGACUAACUCCACGCUGCGGCCAUUCUAUUGACCGUUAUCUAGCCAUCAGUGCACGCCACAUUAGCCCAGAUAACGAUAAAAUUAAGCUCUCCUAUAUAAAGAGGCGGCCUGGGGGCCCCACCUUAGGGAUGAUGUUCAUUCCUCACAAAGAGUUACAUUAUGCUGAACUCUUUUUUCUUUACACACUGUUUGCCUCUCCAUUCUGACUUAGACAUCGGAAGGUCCUCAGCUAGAAAUUCUCUAGCAAGUGAACUUUUUACAGGCCAUCCCCGAAGGAGACCAAUGCCCAGUGCCACCACUAGUCUGCUCAGCUCGACUCCAGCCGAUCCCAAAGUCGUCUGAGCUGUGCUCCGACCUCGGUUCGGAUUCUGUGGCAACAACAACCAAGGGACUCCAAACAGAGAGGGCACUCAUAUCUCAAAGUUCUCAUGGUAAGAAGCUCUCAAGCCCUUAUCCAUUAUUCUGCUUUUCUUUUUUGGCAAGUUAGUCGGUAUAUGAGCUGUCAUGGUUGAGGUGAAAGUCAAGGCUGAGAUGGAGAGCGAUGUCGAGGUGAAGGUCGAUGCUGAGGUGAGAAACCAUGGCUGAGGCGAGAAGACCGAAAGGAAUGCUAAGGCCAAGAUCGAGUUGAAGACCGAGGCCGAGGUGAGAAGACCGAGGCCGAGGUGAGAAGCUAAGGCCGAGGUGAAGUCAAAGGCCGAGAUGAGAAAGUUGAGUUCGAGAUGAAAGCUAAAGCUAAGGCUAAGGUGAGAAGGCCAAGGUGAAAGUUGAGGCUGAGACUAAGGUGAAGGCUAGAGUUCAAUUGAAGGCUAAAGCUAAGGUGAAGACGGAGGCCGAACCCCUAAAGCUGACCAGGCAGGCCUGAGAAGGCUGAAAUGAAAAGGCCAAGAUAAGAAGGCCGAUAUGACAAGGCCGACUUGAGAAAGCCAAGAUAAAAAGGCCUAAGUGAGAAGACCAACUAGAAGAACGACAAUAUUGUUAUUUUAACGUCCUUCGUAAUUUAGGCAUUGGAAGAGUCAAUCCAACGAGCCUUUCUCUUCUUGUUAUGUGCAGAUCAGUAUCUCUACGCGAAUUGAUUAGUACUCUCUAGAUCUCCGUAGGGUAGGAUUUUGGCAAACUAUCAUAAGUGGAUUUUUUUGUCUCAACAAAGUUGUCUUUGGACAGUUGCAAAAAAAUAGCUAAAAUAUUAUCCCCCAAUAAUUCAAUCGUCCAUAAGUAUUCAACACAAACACGAAUCUAUCAACUUGAAAGCAAAAGGGUCAUAUCGUGGUGGAGGAAAAGAAAUCAAAACAAGACAGCCAAGUUAGGAGCAGGCAAAAUGCUCCUCGUCGUCGAAACAGGCACGCCAAUGAUGACUUCAAGCAAUCGGCAAGAGAGAACACGGGGCAACGAGGAGAGCCAGAUCCACGCUUGAUCUCAGAGAAGGCAUCACGAUAAUUUAUCAAACGAGUGGGUUGAUUUGUCAUCGAGCCAGCUGUGCUCGCCGAUGAUCGGAAGAGGCCUUGCAAAGCCUCGCCUCUAGCAAGGGAGUAGCAACAGUCUAAGGGCAAGAGAGAGGGCUUUAAGAAAGAGAGAGGAUUCGAAGAAGAAGAAGAGGGGGCAGAAUGGUGAUGACGAGGGAUAGUGAGAACCCCAAUUCCAUUGUCAUAACAAUCCCCCUCUCCACCCUCCUCUCCUCGCCCCAUCCAAACACAGCCUAAGAUUAUUUUUUAGAGAAUUCUCACCUACUUGGAAGCACAAGUUCACAACAUCCUUCGAGCAAGCCACACGCAAUGCAAGAGGAGUGCAGCUAAAACCAUGGAUAUAGGCUCGAAUUUUUUUUCCUGUUCCUUUCUUUCCCUCUAUUUAAAUUAGAGGAAUUUUAUCCAUUCAUUGAAAGCCUGCAUUUGUCUGGACUGCCGAGGAGAAGAAGAAAGAGAAAAUAACAGCACUUCAUAUUGUUCCUUGACAUUAAAACCGAUUGCUGCUCAUUUUGUAGUCAUGGACUACCCCAACAGAGAUGAACAAGCUGAUUUAAACGCAGCUUAAUCAAGAUCACCGUUGGCUACCGUGGAGGCACUGGGGAGAGAGUUACCAGAAGAAGUGGGGCAGUCUGAAUUUUGAAAUUAAUCAAGUCCAACCCGAACCGAAGUUAUUUGGAUCAGGCUUGGAUUCGACCCACUUUUGACCCAAAAAAGGCCAAUGAGCUGAUGAAGUUAAUAUCAUAUCAUACUCGAUCAAUUCAAACUUGACUGAAAAUGAAUUGACUUUGGAUUCAAUUUUUUUUUUUUUGACCCAAUUCAGCCACAGGAUUGAUGCAUUGAGGCACCUCUCAUCAAGUGGCGGGUUACAUCUCCACAACUAGAUCACCAUUUGACUACUGAAAUUAUAGCUCACCUCUGACAAGCAAGAGACAAUAACACUUACAGUUCAUCACCUACUACAAAAAAAAUUGACAAAUAAAAUAAAUUUUUAUACUUUAUAAAAAUAUUAUCUAUUCAUAUUUAUAUACAGUAAGUUUAAUCACGCUGAAUAUGAGCUUGGGUCAUUUGCGGAGGAUGCUUAUCAAGCAAUACAAGUUCCUCAGUAACAGCCUGCCUGAAGAACCACAUCUUUCUCAGGGGAAAGAGAAUAAAAAAUAAAAACAAAAAUAGACGGGAGAGAUAAAAGCAGAUACACCCCUCAUUACAGGUGAACACCACCUAAUCCUGUACCACCUCGUUAAGAGAUACUCGCCAAACACCUUCCAAUCAUCAAAUAUUACAUGUUCAUGCAAGAAUCUAGGAAGGGAUGAUAGAAAUAUUCCAACACGGAUUAGAUUUCUUUUAUUUAUAGCGCACAGUAGAUUCUUCUUCUUCUUAUUUAUUAUUGCGUAUCAAUUUCAUGCUUAAUCAGCUUACUUCCUAAAUUCCUAGUUGUGCUGAUGAAAUUAAAGGCCUUUCCUUUAAGCUCCCCUUAGUUUUCUCGGUUUAUGUCCAGGCAAAAGCACAGCUGCUGGUUUUACCAGCAUUUUAACUACCCAUAGAAGUGAAAACAUAAGGUAUUCUUAGAAAUGCAUAUUCUAUUUGAAAAACAAAUAAUCACAACAUGUCAUGCCAAAGAGAUGGAAAGAGUAACCAAAAGAAAGGCUGAAAUAGUGAUAAAUUUAAAAAA